rnacentral:rRNA from 1 species
GAUGAACGCUGGCGGCGUGCUUAACACAUGCAAGUCGAACGAAGCACUUUAUUUGAUUUCCUUCGGGACUGAUUAUUUUGUGACUGAGUGGCGGACGGGUGAGUAACGCGUGGGUAACCUGCCUUGUACAGGGGGAUAACAGGUGGAAACGGCUGCUAAUACCGCAUAAGCGCACAGCAUCGCAUGAUGCAGUGUGAAAAACUCCGGUGGUAUAAGAUGGACCCGCGUUGGAUUAGCUAGUUGGUGAGGUAACGGCCCACCAAGGCGACGAUCCAUAGCCGAACUGAUAGGGUGACCGGCCACAUUGGGACUGAGACACGGCCCAAACUCCUACGGGAGGCAGCAGUGGGGAAUAUUGCACAAUGGGCGAAAGCCUGAUGCAGCGACGCCGCGUGAGCGAAGAAGUAUUUCGGUAUGUAAAGCUCUAUCAGCAGGGAAGAUAAUGACGUUACCUGACUAAGAAGCACCGGCUAAAUACGUG